CAGUCGUACCGGCGGAUAAUCAACCUUUAGAUGCGAUUUUGUGGAGCGUCAAGAGUUAAACGCCUUCAUGCCUGCAUAUUCGUAUACUUUGGGUGUACUUAUUCGUGUGGUAAGUUAACAUCAAUUUUGGUGAUCAUAAAAUGACUAGAGGAAUGUAGCUUCGAUCUCGUAUUGAAGUGUUAUAGCCUUCGGGUAGAUGUGAUGAUCGGGAUUGGAGGAUUGCAACGGAUACCCUUCGGGGCUACCUGUCUGGUCUCUGAUCGUUGCUCUGGUGCCGAAAGCUUGCUUACGGUUAUCAAAGUCGAUGGUCAAUAGGUUAGAAUGGGUUAAA
rnacentral:rRNA from 1 species